rnacentral:tRNA from 2 species
CGGGGCGUAGCGCAGCCCGGUAGCGCACUUGACUGGGGGUCAAGGGGUCGUGGGUUCGAAUCCCGCCGCCCCGA